GGUGAGAGAAUUCACCAGAGCCAGAGGAUCUGCGCGACAUGUGGGACCCUCCUCUGGUGGCUGGGGAGCAGCCGGGGAUCUUCAGCAGCGGGCAGCUUCGCAACCCAGCGCUCACCUGCUGCGCCACCGGGGAGGCCCUCAAAACUCAGGGCACUCAGGAAAGAAGGACACUCCACUUACCCACUUGAUAAACCUGAUAAUUAUGCGCCCUGUGACAAGGAAGGAAAGAAGUGGCAUUGCAUAUAACUGAUGUUACAGAAGAAAAAGAAUCAAUGUCUGGAGAAUUCAAUGUUUCCUUUUUGGAUUCCUGCAAGAAAACCCUUGUGGUCUCAAAACUCAUGGGACCAUCUGUGCAAAUAACAGCACAUAUCAUUACCCUGAAUGGAAGUGACAGUGCAAAUAUUAGAAGUGCAUUGAGAAGUAAUCAGUAAGAACCGACCUCCUCCCUCUCUCAACCACUAUGGGGUGAAGGGUUGAAUGUAGAACAUUCCAAGCAAUUGAUGACAAAUGCUGUAAAUCCACUAUGGCUAUGAGGGUGGACACGAGGUGCCAAACACCCUCUCUUCUCUCCAAAUGCUAUUUGCUGCUGCAAUGCUCCUCUGCUUCUUCAGUUUUCUUUGUUGUCUACAUAUAGAUUUUGAAAUGUGAGUAAUUCUGGCUAGAGAUACUUCCUACCUCUCAACUUUCAC